rnacentral:tRNA from 1 species
GUCCAGGGAUGGGAAUCGAACCCACAAUGUUCCGCUUACCGGGCAAAUACCAUGUCCACUAGGCUACCCUGGA